GACAGAGGGUGCAAGCGUUGUUCGGAAUUACUGGGCGUAAAGCGCGUGUAGGUGGCCCGGCAAGUCGGAUGUGAAAGCCCUCGGCUCAACUGGGGAAGUGCAUCCGAAACUACCGGGCUCGAGUGUCGGAGAGGGAAGUGGAAUUCCCGGUGUAGAGGUGAAAUUCGUAGAUAUCGAGAGGAACAUCGAUGGCGAAAGCGGCCUUCUGGACAGAAACUGACGCUGAGACGCGAAAGCGGGGAGAGCAAACAGG
rnacentral:rRNA from 1 species